UCGAGGCCUUCUACAAGACCUUAAGUACAAUUUUUGGAAACCCUGCCUCAUUAUUUGGGGGAGGGUAGA